GGUGGUUCUCAGGUGACACACCCCAGAAUUGGGCUCCCUCCUCUCUGGUUCCAGGUGGGUCACCUGAGAACCACA
rfam:Myotis lucifugus cont2.27292, whole genome shotgun sequence.